rnacentral:tRNA from 1 species
CGGGCUAUAGCGCAGCCUGGCUAGCGCGCUACCUUGGGGUGGUAGAGGUCGUGGGUUCAAAUCCCGCUAGCCCGA